rnacentral:lncRNA from 1 species
CUUCACGCAGAGCUGAGAGGCACUCUCAGAUAACCAAGUUGAUUUCCUCUCCAGUGUCUUGCAAAUCAGAAGGGGCAGAGGCAGCAAGAUUUUCAAAGCACUCAAAAACAAACAAACAAAAAAAAAACAAAGCCACAGGCAACUGAAUUUUCCUCAUGCAACUGUAUUUGGCUGGUGCCUGAAUCACAAAAUGAGGCUUUCACUUGGCCCUCAAGUAGCUCUCCCAGCUCCUGAGCCAGUGGUCGGUCAUCCAAAGCCUGGGCAGGUGCUGGGACUGAGAGGCAAUGUUCUGAGCGACAGUUAGGAGAGUGGCAGUUGGAGCAUUGGUGGACCUAGGUGGAGGGGCCCUAAGUCAAGCGCUAUCUGCCAAGCCUCAUUCUGGUCAAAGAGGCAUGCCAAUGCACUCCUUAUUGCCUUAGGCAAGACUGCACCCAAAUCUCCAAACCGAUUCCAUGUCAGGGAACAAGAGGCUCCUGGAGGACGUGGUGUGUCUCAACCAUGUCAUCACUGUCUCCUAAGCAGGAGGAAGAUGUUUAUGAAACUCCACCAGAGGAGCCCAUCAGAGAUCCUGCACAGUUAUUAUGUUGGCGCAAAGUGCAUGCCUACUGUGCGCAAGGAGCAGAGAAGUGGAAGAAACAAAAGAAGAAAAGGCCAUACUUCCUGUCUUCAAGAUGCUUAUAGUCAGUUGAAGGAGACACAAAAGUGAAUGCCUAAGAGAGAAGGAAGAGCAAUAGAAAGGAACAGCUACAUAAUGGAUUCUGGGCUUCAUACCAAGGUGAUGGGUUGAUCUGUGCAGCAAACCACCAUGGCAUACAUUUACCUAUGUAACAAACCUGCACAUCCUGCACAUGUACCCUGGAACUUAAAAGUUGAAGAAAAAAAAAGGAGAGAUAAAGAAAUAAACAGCUACGUAAAGUCAGGGAGUUGGGAAAGGAGAUGUAACUUCCAUCAUGGGCCUGAGCUGAUUCUUGAGAGAUGGUCAGGGCUGGGUAUGAAGAGUUGGGAGGAGACACAUUCCAGGCACCGAGAACACCCUGAGCCAAGGCAUGAGGGUGAGAACUGUGGGACACAC